UUUCCGUAGGUGAACCUGCGGAAGGAUCAUUCUUGUAUAGCGGAUGAGCGAGGGCUGUCGCUGACCCGCAACGUCGUGCACGCCGGAAUGCCCUCACACCCAUCCAUCUCACCCCUAUGUCCACCACCGCGUGGGUCCCCCUUUGGCUUGUUCUGAGGUGGGCUUACUAUUUCACACAAACUUUUUCUACAACGUAUCAUGUAUUUUUUGUUUUUACGAUCACCCCAGCAAAACAACUUUGCACAACGGUUCUCUCGACUCACGUAUCGAUGAAGAACG
rnacentral:misc_RNA from 1 species